AAAGCGUGCGCAGGCGGUUAUGUAAGACAGAGGUGAAAUCCCCGGGCUCAACCUGGGAACUGCCUUUGUGACUGCAUAGCUAGAGUACGGUAGAGGGGGAUGGAAUUCCGCGUGUAGCAGUGAAAUGCGUAGAUAUGCGGAGGAACACCGAUGGCGAAGGCAAUCCCCUGGACCUGUACUGACGCUCAUGCACGAAAGCGUGGGGAGCAAACAGGAUUAGAUACCCCGGU
rnacentral:rRNA from 1 species